rnacentral:rRNA from 1 species
AUUGAACGCUGGCGGCAGGCCUAACACAUGCAAGUCGAGCGAGCGGCGGACGGGUGAGUAAUGUAUGGGGACUGCCCGAUAGAGGGGGAUAACACCUGGAGACGGUAGCGAAUACCGCAUACUAUCGGAUAACCCAUAUGGGAGUGGGUAGUAGGGGGGGUAAUGGCGCACCUAGGGGACGAUCCCUAGCUGGUCUGAGAGGAUGAUCAGCCAAACUGGAACUGAGACACGGCCCAGACUCCUACGGAGGCAGCAGUGGGGAAUAUUGCACAAUGGGGGAAACCCUGAUCCAGCCAUCCCGCGUGUGUGAUGAAGGCCUUCGGGUUGUAAAGUACUUUUGGCAGGGAAGCGGUAUCUGCAGAAUAAGCACCGGCUAACUACGUGCCAGCCGCCGCGGUAAUAC